rnacentral:rRNA from 1 species
UACAGAGGUGGCAAGCGUUGUUCGGAAUUACUGGGCGUAAAGGGCGCGUAGGCGGCCUUCUAAGUCAGACGUGAAGUCCCCCGGCUUAACCUGGGAACUGCGUCCGAUACUGGAAGGCUUGAAUCCGGGAGAGGGAUGUGGAAUUCCAGGUGUAGCGGUGAAAUGCGUAGAUAUCUGGAGGAACACCGGUGGCGAAGGCGACAUCCUGGACCGGCAUUGACGCUGAGGCGCGAAAGCCAGGGGAGCAAACGGG